AGCGAACGCUGGCGGCAGGCUUAACACAUGCAAGUCGAGCGCCCGGGCAACCGGGAGCGGCAGACGGGAGAGUAACACGUGGGAACGUGCCCUUCAGUUCGGAACAACCCAGGGAAACUUGGGCUAAUACCGGAUAAGCCCUUACGGGGAAAGAUUUAUCGCUGAAGGAUCGGCCCGCGUCUGAUUAGCUAGUUGGUGGGGUAAUGGCCCACCAAGGCGACGAUCAGUAGCUGGUCUGAGAGGAUGAUCAGCCUCACUGGGACUGAGACACGGCCCAGACUCCUACGGGAGGCAGCAGUGGGGAAUAUUGGACAAUGGGCGCAAGCCUGAUCCAGCCAUGCCGCGUGGGUGA
rnacentral:rRNA from 1 species